rnacentral:rRNA from 1 species
UACGAAGGGGGCUAGCGUUGCUCGGAAUUCCUGGGCGUAAAGGGCGCGUAGGCGGGUAUUUAAGGUAGGGGGGAAAGCCCAGGGCUCAACCCUGGAAUAGCCUUUAAUACUGGAUAUCUUGAGUUCGGGAGAGGUGAGUGGAACUCCGAGUGUAGAGGUGAAAUUCGUAGAUAUUCGGAAGAACACCAGUGGCGAAGGCGACUCACUGGCCCGAUACUGACGCUGAGGCGCGAAAGCGUGGGGAGCAAACAGG